UUCGUAUGUUAUAUGGUCACGGACUCACGGCGGAGGGAGUCCAGGACUGCCAGGUGGGCAGAUUACACUACUUAGAAGUUGCUUCCCAGACAAUGGCUGAACAAAUAAGUUUUUUUGUUUUUUCUAUUGAUUCAUUUAGAGACAAUGCUUGAAGUAGUAAAUCUUCUUUUUCUAUUGAUCACAGCACCGUAUGCUGGUUACCCUUGAGUCUUGAGACUUAGGGCUAAUGUCACAACUCGACUCGCGAAGCAGAAACGUUCACCUCCGUCAUCUUUUGCUCUCUGAUCUGACUCGCGAAUCUUUCGCCACCGUCACAUCACAUCCGACUCGGAGGCUCCGCCAUCUUCACGCUACCUUCACGCCACCAUAACAAUAGAUUCAGAGGUAGAGGAAGAUGGUAACAAAGAUGGUUCAAAGAGAAUAGAGAGUGGAGUAGUACUGAGCUCUUUCGUCAUAUGCUCUAAGGUUUUUGCAGAACAAUAGGGAUGAAUGAGGAAGAAACGGAAAUUGAAAAAUAGUCAAAAGACUAAAGAUCCAAUGAACUUGAAACGGAAAUGUGUAAAGACUUGUGUUGUGUGUAUGUUUGGCAAACAAAUUACUUCUCAAGUCUUUGUUGAUGCAUUGCUUCUCAAGUCGACAAGUCUUUGUUGCAAGUUUUCUCAAGUCUUUGUUGCAGGUUUGUGUAAAACCCGUUUGUCAAAAGAAUUUUUGUUUGAUAAAAAGGAAAAAUUUAAAAAGGUCCAUGUAUAUUUUUUUGACAAUCGGUUCAUGUAUAUUUAAACGGGUCUAUGUAUAGCUUAAAUGGG